GACGAACGCUGGCGGCGUGCUUAACACAUGCAAGUCGAACGAUGAAGCUUGGUGCUUGCACUGGGUGGAUGAGUGGCGAACGGGUGAGUAAUACGUGAGUAACCUGCCCUUGACUCUGGGAUAAGCCUGGGAAACUGGGUCUAAUACUGGAUAUGACAUGCCACUGCAUGGUGGUGUGUGGAAAGGGUUUUACUGGUUUUGGAUGGGCUCACGGCCUAUCAGCUUGUUGGUGGGGUAAUGGCCUACCAAGGCGACGACGGGUAGCCGGCCUGAGAGGGUGACCGGCCACACUGGGACUGAGACACGGCCCAGACUCCUACGGGAGGCAGCAGUGGGGAAUAUUGCACAAUGGGCGGAAGCCUGAUGCAGCGACGCCGCGUGAGGGAUGACGGCCUUCGGGUUGUAAACCUCUUUCAGCACGGAAGAAGCGAGAGUGACGGUACGUGCAGAAGAAGCGCCGGCUAACUACGUG
rnacentral:rRNA from 1 species